UACGUAGGGUGUAAGCGUUGUCCGGAAUUAUUGGGCGUAAAGGGCUCGUAGGCGGUCUGUCACGUCGGGAGUGAAAACUCAGGGCUUAACCCUGAGCCUGCUUCCGAUACGGGCAGACUAGAGGUAUGCAGGGGAGAACGGAAUUCCUGGUGUAGCGGUGAAAUGCGCAGAUAUCAGGAGGAACACCGGUGGCGAAGGCGGUUCUCUGGGCAUUACCUGACGCUGAGGAGCGAAAGUGUGGGGAGCGAACAGG
rnacentral:rRNA from 1 species